UACAGAGGUCUCAAGCGUUGUUCGGAUUCAUUGGGCGUAAAGGGCGCGUAGGCGGCGGGGUCAGUCGGGUGUGAAAUCUUGGGGCUUAACCCCGAAACGGCACUCGAAACUGCCCGGCUGGAGGGCCGGAGAGGAGAUCGGAAUUCACGGUGUAGCAGCGAAAUGCGUAGAGAUCGUGAGGAAGACCCGUGGCGAAGGCGGAUCUCUGGACGGCUAACUGACGCUGAGGCGCGAAGGCCAGGGGAGCAAACGGG
rnacentral:rRNA from 1 species